CGGGACGGGUGAGUAACGCGUGGGUAACCUGCCUCAUACAGGGGGAUAACAGUUAGAAAUGACUGCUAAUACCGCAUAAGCGCACAGAAUCGCAUGAUUCGGUGUGAAAAACUCCGGUGGUAUGAGAUGGACCCGCGUCUGAUUAGCUAGUUGGUGGGGUAAAGGCCUACCAAGGCGACGAUCAGUAGCCGACCUGAGAGGGUGAUCGGCCACAUUGGGACUGAGACACGGCCCAAACUCCUACGGAAGGCAGCAG
rnacentral:rRNA from 1 species